rnacentral:rRNA from 1 species
UACGUGGGGUGCGAGCGUUAAUCGGAAUUACUGGGCGUAAAGCGUGCGCAGGCGGUUUUGUAAGCCAGAUGUGAAAUCCCCGGGCUUAACCUGGGAAUGGCAUUUGGGACUGCAAGGCUGGAGUGUGGCAGAGGAGACUGGAAUUCCUGGUGUAGCAGUGAAAUGCGUAGAUAUCAGGAGGAAUACCGAUGGCGAAGGCAGGUCUCUGGGCUGACACUGACGCUCAUGCACGAAAGCGUGGGGAGCAAACAGG